rnacentral:rRNA from 1 species
GACGAACGCUGGCGGCGUGCUUAACACAUGCAAGUCGAACGGAAAGGCCCUGCUUGCAGGGUACUCGAGUGGCGAACGGGUGAGUAACACGUGGGUGAUCUGCCCUGCACUUCGGGAUAAGCCUGGGAAACUGGGUCUAAUACCGGAUAGGAGCCAUUUUUAGUGUGAUGGUUGGAAAGUUUUUUCGGUGUAGGAUGAGCUCGCGGCCUAUCAGCUUGUUGGUGGGGUAAUGGCCUACCAAGGCGGCGACGGGUAGCCGGCCUGAGAGGGUGGACGGCCACAUUGGGACUGAGAGACGGCCCCGACGCCUACGGGAGGCAGCAGUGGGGAAGAUUGCACAAGGGGCGCAAGCCUGAUGCAGCGACGCCGCGUGGGGGAGGACGGCCUUCGGGUUGUAAACUCCUUUCGCUAGGGACGAAGCUUUUUGUGACGGUACCUAGAUAAGAAGCACCGGCUAACUACGUG